CAAUCAAUUCGUUAAUCAUUUUUGCUUCAACAAUGGCAAAACGUGCGCGAUUUCAUUUUGUAGGUAAUCAUCUUGUAAUUAACGAAAUGCGCAAUUUGUUAAUGUUAUUGCAUAAUACGCGCAAUUUAGUAGUGCAAUAUAAUCUUGAAAACGUGGUGUACCUACCAGGGAAAAACUUAUUUUCUUUGUCCAGAACAAAGUAUGAAAGAUUUGCAAAAUAUUCGUAGCUCCAGGUUACCGCAGAGAAAAUAGCCUAAUUCAAAAUAUAUUGCUUGUUGUUCCUCUACACUUUUGUUGUUUGUUUGUAUCCAAAUUGGAAGUUUACAUGCAGCUCUUGGGCCGAACUUGUCCACAGCUUCGACCUAUAAGGUAUGUACGUUAGCCAAAUAACGCCAUGUUCCUAAUAACGCCAGACGUCCUCUUUUGGAAAACCACGUAAGCAAUACAAAAAAUUGCCAGUGUGGCAUUGUAGGUUCAUACCCAAGAAGACUGUCAGCCAUUAAAACCUUCUUUAUAGAUGAAACAAGUGUCACCACAUGAGAUGCAUGAUUUUGGCGGCAAUAACCACCAUUCGUCAUUGCAUCUUUGAUGCAAGAUAUUUGAUGUUCAAACACUCUAAUAAUUAGAUUUGUUCAUACCCGCGUGGUGUUUGAUUUUAGGUUAAGUGCGCCUAAUAACGCCAACAAUCUUCUACUGGCGUGAUUAGGAGCCAAUCUGCAAUUAAAGAGUGUUCUUGGUCUUCCAACCAAGUAAAUCGGAAGAAAAAGAGAAAACCUGCAGCUAAGGAGAGUUUGGUAUUGUUUUGUUUGCCAAAAAGGCCGGAUCUGCGAUAUGCGCCUUUGUGUCUUUUGCAACCGUUAAGUACACGAGGAAUGUGUAGGAUUACCCAAAAAAGACAAAUUUUCAUAUGUUUGUAUUGAUUUUGAACGUUAGUUAAAUUUCAAUAAAUGUUUACCCUAUA